GGGUGGGCAAUAUGAUUGCCCGGCGGUCUUGAAGACCGUCGUGGCAGCGAUGUCACCGUGGGUUCAAAUCCCACACCCA
rnacentral:tRNA from 1 species